AUAAGGGGAGGAAAAGAAA
rnacentral:rRNA from 1 species